rnacentral:rRNA from 1 species
GUCCACGCUGUAAACGAUGAUCACUAGACGUCAGUUCUGUUUUACAGAAUUGGUGUCGUAGCUAACGCGCUAAGUGAUCCGCCUGGGGACUACGGUCGCAAGAUUAAAACUCAAAGGAAUUGACGGGGGCCCGCACAAGCGGUGGAACAUGUGGUUUAAUUCGACACUACGCGAGGAACCUUACCUAGGCUUGACAUGUAUUUGACCGUCGUAGAAAUACGAUUUUCCGGGCUUCGGUUCGGACGGAUACACAGGUGCUGCAUGGCUGUCGU